rnacentral:rRNA from 1 species
AUUGAACGCUGGCGGCAGGCUUAACACAUGCAAGUCGAGCGGGGUGAUGGUGCUUGCACUAUCACUUAGCGGCGGACGGGUGAGUAAUGCCUAGGAAUCUGCCUAUUAGUGGGGGACAACAUCUCGAAAGGGAUGCUAAUACCGCAUACGUCCUACGGGAGAAAGCGGGGGAUCACUUGUGACCUUGCGCUAAUAGAUGAGCCUAAGUCGGAUUAGCUAGUUGGUGGGGUAAAGGCCUACCAAGGCGACGAUCUGUAGCGGGUCUGAGAGGAUGAUCCGCCACACUGGGACUGAGACACGGCCCAGACUCCUACGGGAGGCAGCAGUGGGGAAUAUUGGACAAUGGGGGGAACCCUGAUCCAGCCAUGCCGCGUGUGUGAAGAAGGCCUUAUGGUUGUAAAGCACUUUAAGCGAGGAGGAGGCUCUUUUGGUUAAUACCCAAGAUGAGUGGACGUUACUCGCAGAAUAAGCACCGGCUAACUCUGUGCCAGCCGCCGCUGUAA